rnacentral:rRNA from 1 species
UGGGGAAUAUUGCACAAUGGGCGAAAGCCCGAUGCAGCAACGCCGCGUGAGUGAUGAAGGCCUUCGGGUUGUAAAGCUCUGUCUUUUGGGACGAUAAUGACGGUACCAAAGGAGGAAGCCACGGCUAACUACGUGCCAGCAGCCGCGGUAAUACGUAGGUGGCAAGCGUUGUCCGGAUUUACUGGGCGUAAAGGAUGCGUAGGCGGAUUUUUAAGUGAGAUGUGAAAUACCCGGGCUUAACUUGGGUGCUGCAUUUCAAACUGGGAAUCUAGAGUGCGGGAGAGGAGAAUGGAAUUCCUAGUGUAGCGGUGAAAUGCGUAGAGAUUAGGAAGAACACCAGUGGCGAAGGCGAUUCUCUGGACCGUAACUGACGCUGAGGCAUGAAAGCGUGGGUAGCAAACAGGAUUAGAUACCCUGGUAGUCCACGCCGUAAACGAUGAGUACUAGGUGUAGGAGGUAUCGACCCCUUCUGUGCCGCAGUUAACACAAUAAGUACUCCGCCUGGGAAGUACGAUCGCAAGAUUAAAAC